GGGGUUGUGGCUCAGUGGUAGAGCGCUUGCCUACCAUGUGUGAGUCACUGAGUUCAAACCUCAGCACCACA
rnacentral:tRNA from 1 species